GAUCUCACCACACAGAUCCCGUCACAACUCUCUGCACUUGCGCAGUAGAGAUUGCCUCACGCUCGCCGGCGCCAUUAUGCAUUACAACAGGAGCUGCCACAGCUGAAGAUGUCUGAACACUGACAGGGAAUGUGCUUGAAGCACUUCAAGCCAUUUUAACCGAGUUCAACUUCAAUCUGAUACUUUAAAGAACGGCCCUGAUCCUGGAGAAACGCAUUAGUGAUCUGCACAAGGCAAUCUUGCGCGACCAUCUCUGAGACACAAUUAGUCUUUAGGCUAUAGCAAAC